GACGAACGCUGGCGGCGUGCUUAACACAUGCCAGUCGAACGGAAAGGCCCUGCUUUUGUGGGGUGCUCGAGUGGCGAACGGGUGAGUAACACGUGAGUAACCUGCCCUUGACUUUGGGAUAACUUCAGGAAACUGGGGCUAAUACCGGAUAGGAGCUCCUGCUGCAUGGUGGGGGUUGGAAAGUUUCGGCGGUUGGGGAUGGACUCGCGGCUUAUCAGCUUGUUGGUGGGGUAGUGGCUUACCAAGGCUUUGACGGGUAGCCGGCCUGAGAGGGUGACCGGACACAUUGGGACUGAGAUACGGCGCAGACUCCUACGGGAGGCAGCAGUGGGGAAUAUUGCACAAUGGGCGGAAGCCUGAUGCAGCAACGCCGCGUGCGGGAUGACGGCCUUCGGGUUGUAAACCGCUUUCGCCUGUGACGAAGCGUGAGUGACGGUAAUGGGUAAAGAAGCACCGGCUAACUACGUG
rnacentral:rRNA from 1 species